GUAGGUGAACCUGCGGAAGGAUCAUUAUUGAAAUAAACCUGAUGGGUUGUUGCUGGUUCUCUAGGGAGCAUGUGCACACUUGUCAUCUUUAUAUCUCCACCUGUGCACCUUUUGUAGAUCUGGAUAGCUUUCUAAAUGCCUAGCAUUUGGGUUUGAAGAUUGACUUUUCUGUCUUUCUUUACAUUUUCAGGUCUAUGUUUCUCCAUAUACCCCAAUGUAUGUUAUAGAAUGUAAUGAAUGGGUCUUUGUGCCUAUAAAUUUAUACAACUUUCAGCAACGGAUCUCUUGGUUCUC
rnacentral:misc_RNA from 1 species